AGGCAAUGCCUGCCCAGUGAGAACAUCUUUAACGGCCGCGGUACCCUAACCGUGCAAAGGUAGCGUAAUCAUUUGUCUAUUAAUUGUAGACCAGUAUGAAAGGCCACAUGAGAGCCAAACUGUCUCUUGUAAUAAAUCAAUUAAACUGAUCUCCUAGUACAAAAGCUAGGAUAAACCUAUAAGACCAGAAGACCCUGUGAAGCUUAAACUAACCUAUUAAAUCAUAUAAUAGCUACUUUCGGUUGGGGCGACCUUGGAACAAAACAAAACUUCCAAACACAAAUUGGAACUCCCAAUAAAAACAGGCUAACAAGCCACAGUACGACCCAGUAUAACUGAUUAUUGAACCAAGUUACUCCAGGGAUAACAGCGCUAUCUUCUUCAAGAGCCCAUAUCAAAAAGAAGGUUUACGACCUCGAUGUUGGAUCAGGACACCCAAAUGGUGCAGCCGCUAUUAAAGGUUCGUUUGUUCAACGAUUAACAGUCCU
rnacentral:rRNA from 1 species